UUGAAAAUGCUUUGAGCUCUUUCUGAGGGAGGUCACUAUAUACAUCCAAAGUAGCAACCACUAAUAAUUCUCUUCAUUCAUUCAGCAAUCUCUUUUUAACUGAGGAUGAGAAAAAAUAACUCUAAUCAUCUAUUUCCCAAUUUUUCCCCUCCCCCUGGGACCCCAACUCAACUAGUAGAGUUAUCCAGUUGUUCAAAGUUCCUUGUUAUCAACUCUAAAAUUUACUUGGUUAAUGACAUUCAUUGGUUUCUAUUGAGAUGCUUUGACCUAGAUGUUCAUGCUAACCACAACUCUAGAGCAGGAGAAAAAAAAUGCAAAUAGGAUCCUCAGGUUACUAAAUCUCUUUUUUCCUGUCUUCUCUGUCUCUCACCUGCUGGGGGAAAAAAAGUAUGGAUUAUACUACAUGCCAUCCAUUUGAGCUCCGCUGCUAACUCCUGCUAAUAAUUUCACAGUAAAAUCUGAUUAAGGGUCAAUGAUUAGUACUUAAGUAGAUGAAAAUGGGUGGCUGCCCCACACUUAAGCAAUCCAUCUGUCCAAAUGCAGUAGCAUAUUCCCUACCUGGAUGGUGAUUUUGGAAUUGCUUAGCUCCUGGCCUUUUCAAAAUAAAGCUAAAGGAAAUUUGGAGGGGUAUGGAAGAACAAGAUCAGUGUUGAUUAAAUCUAUCUUUUUGGAUUCAGUUGAAUUUGCAGUUUCUCAGACAACAUCUGAUGAUCUCAAGGGUAUGACAGAUCUCUGAUUCCCUCUGAUCAUUCUCAAAAUUCAUAAUGAGGAAACAGAUUCAAUUUAACCCAAGGUGGUUGUGACCUUCUCAAAGUGACCCAGGGAGUAAAAAUCACAGGUAAAGUGUUUAGAACUAUAAAAUAUUCCCCUCAGGAGGAUUUUGGUCACAUCACCAAAGAUUUGAUAGAACAUACUCAUCAGAUGAUCAGUGCUAUUUCCCAAACUGGAAUCUCUGAAGGCCCUAGGAAGCAUUGUUCAAAAGUGAGUAACAAAUAGUAAUGGAGCAAGAAUUUUGUCAUGUUUAAUAUUGUUAGUUACAGUAAAUUCCUUUGACAUUUCCCUCUAACUUUUGCCAUCUUUCCCUUGUGCAAUAAGUAAAUGAUGUUUAUAAAACUCCAGAUGAACCAUCCUUCAUGGGAUUUUCCACAUAUCUGUUUAAUUAAUAGAAUAAAAUGCUUCCCUUAAGUGCUCAAAGACAACAGAGUGGUUGUGAUAUAGUUCUUGUCAUUUCUCCCACCUACAAAAACAAAAUAUCAUGGUUACAAUUCUAUAAUUAGCAGGGAAGCUACACCAACUUCUGGUUAAUAGACUGCUUAUGUAGACUACUGAAUUUUGCAGAUGAAGCAAGUGAUAGGAAUAUUUAAGGAAAAAAAGACAAUAUACAAAAAGAUAUCUAUAGUUUAGAUCAAGUUCUUAA